UAAGGUCCCAAUCACUCCCAACCCCUCCCCCUGUUCCUUCUUUUGCCAGGCCACACGGAGGAAGUACAAGAGGUACUUGCAGUGAUUGGAGUGGGCUGAUUAACCUUCACAGCCCUCGGUGCCCCAGAUUUCACCAGCUUACUGAUCUAUAUCUAGGUCAGCUUCAUAAAGCAUCAUUUCUGUUUUAGGGCUUCAUAAAGUAUCAUUUCUGUUUUAGUCUUCAGCAGGGAAGACAGGUGGAGGGGGCUGGAUGAUAAAUGGUGAGACUGCAUGGGUCUCCAAGUGAGUGUUAGUCUGUGGCUUUUACUUAGUGCCUUAAAACUGUUUGCAAAGACAUGUGAAUUGAAGUAAGCCAUGUGUAAGAGACUGAGAUGUUAAUGGCUUAAACUUUGUAAAUCAUUGAAGGACUUUUUCCCCACCAUGGCAAACUGCAAAGGCACAGCAGAAUAUCUGUGAGCACUCAAGCCCACCCCUCCCCAAACAUGCCUAAUACCUGGAAUUUGGAUUGUGACGGGAACUGUAAAAAGGUGAAGGGGUACUACUGUCCAGUUGUCCCAGGUCUAGGGAGGAGAAUGUAUCCACAAGUGACACAGGAAGAGAGACUGGAAUGCUGAUGGUUCAAAUAUUCAGAGGGAAGCUGCAGAAGUGCAGGGGCACAGAGGGUGAGCACAGCCCUCCUCAGGCUCCAGCUGCUGCUGAAUGAGGUAAGGAAAGAGGCAAACCCUGUGUGGUGGGGAAUCGUCUCUGUCCUUACUCCAGCAAACUCUGCUGUGUUAACUCCCCUGCCAGGGAAGUACCAGAACACUCCCAGGUAGCCUGGAGGCCCUCUGCUGAUGGGCCACAAUGGACACAGCUGGCCUGGUGUGAUAGGCAGCUGUAUCUCCUUGGAAGGUGUCAAAGACUCCCGAAAUGUCCUGAGAUUCACAACAUUACAUCACUCAGCUGGAACUCCCUCCUCCAGGGCAGGUAGCUGGGCAUUCCUAUUUGAGCCUGAGUGAAUAUAAACCAGAGUUUGUAUUCUGGGGGUUCCCUCACCACCUGAUGGAUCCAGUCUGUGACUGUCACUUUGACUAAGGCUGUGACCAUCACUUUGACUAAGGCUGUGACCAUCACUUUGACCAGCAAACAUUGAAAUGGCAGCAGCUGAGCCUCUUUACAAUGCCUGUGGGUGAAAGCAAAAGCUGCAGGUCACUGCCCCAAAAGCUUCCUGCUGGAUGAGGGAGUUAUCUAAAUGGAAUGCUCAAACAGAACUGAGAGGAGCAAACCAGAGUAUUGGUUUUUCUGAGCUCACACAGAAAAGCUGCAAGAUCCCACCUCCAGAUGCCAGCCUGUGCCUUUCCCCAGGCUCCCCCUUUCAGGUGUCUGCUCAUGCUUCAUCUGUCACCCCUGAGCACAUGAAAGAAAAAUGCUGCUGAGAGGUGAACAGAUGGCUUCUUUGUGUGUGACUGUGUAAGGAAACCCAUUUCUGCAAACAGGGGAUGUCAGAGUGUUGCUGGAAAGCUGAAGGAUAUCCUCAUGUUUCUGGACGUGCAUGAUGUCAGUACGCACACUUCAAGUGGAACCAGGAGCACUUGGUUUUUCCUCCUUGCUGAUAUCAACAGGAGCUGGUUUGAUCCAGCCCAUGGUAACCCCUGUCCUACCUCAGUCUGGCUUGGAUGGCAAAGAAUCAAUGAUGUGGAAGGGGUGGUGAGCAGAGUGAAAGCAGUAGAGGCUGUGAAUAAUGCUGGGAGAGAAUCAGCUUUAUCUGAGCUGAGAACUGCCUGGAGGAACUCAAUGUGAGCUCUCAGAGUACUCACACACAGUGGGUAAGCAUGGCUGACAAGCAUGGCUUGGUAACUCACAGGUGACUGAGUCAUUUAAUAGAAGGAGAAACAGAGCAGCAGCUUCCUAAUUAGCACAACUUGACACAGCUUGGCAGAGAGCAAAAUUCUGAUAUUGGUUUACCCAGGCCCAGAUGCACUGUGCAGUAAAGGGUAAUUAUUGGGGCAUUAUUGUUUACAGGAUGUGACAACAGUCUCUCCAAAGUCUUGGGGUUCAGACUAAUUUUUUCAUUUCUCAUCUGUCUGGUACUAGCACACUUGUUUUGUCUUAUCCAAGAGAUUCUAGUGAUAACAAGGUCAUCGUAAUUCAUGACAGCCCCUGCAUUUCUGACCUGUAUUUCUCUUGCAGAUUAAGUAUCUAGGCACACAGAAAACCUAUAAAUACAUAGUCUCAUGGAGUAAAGGUGCAGUCUGGGCUAUCAGCCUGGGAUGGAAGAAGAGAGUUAUGCUCUACUCUUUUGGUUUUCUGAAUUGCAGUCCUGCUGAGCACAGCUGGGAAUUGCAGUAAAUCCAAACAUUCAGGACAGAGCUGAAGAUUUCAAUGUGCACUUUGUCAAACACUGCCUCACAUGAGAGAAAGUUUCCCUGACUUGGCUGGAAGAAAUAGUAUCCUGACUGUAUUCUUUAACUCAGACAGGGAAAUGUAAAUAGCUCAGAGCAGGAGUGCCUCGUAUCUGGAGCUACAGAACAAAUGAAUGAGCUGUAAGAAAAGCAGUGAAAGAAUAUUUCUUGCAGCAUCAGAUUGAAGUUACAGACUAUAGAUUUUGUGUCCAAUAGAGUUGAGGAGUGCCUGCAGAUAGGUUGAGCAGGAUCUGACUGAUUCUGAAUAAUCAGAAUUUCCUGACAUGGGCUCAGGGAGCUAGCUUCCCUUAGAAAGGGGAACCAAGAGGAACAAUGACUUCUACACAUCCCUAAUGUAGACACCCACAUUGACUGCAAGGGGAUUUAUGGGUGACCAACACGACUGUACCUGCAUCUAUAAUUAGAUCAUGUAUUUCAUUUGUGAUUUCAUAGCUGCUCACACUCAAGAGUCCAAAACCCCUCAGCUGUGCCCUCCAGGUGGUCACUCAGGGUGGCUUUCCAAGGAGAGUGCUGGCCAGCUGGUUUGUCAGUCCAGAUCCUGCUUCACACUUGCCUUGGCUGCAUAAACUGUCUUACAGAUCAAGAGGUGCUAUCCUGAUGUGGAAAUUCUGUCUGUAUUCCUUUUAUGAUUUUGAUUCUAUUUUCUGAGCUUGCUCCAUGCAUUGAAUUAGACUGAAUGUGUCUGUUCAGGCUAACAAGAGAGAUUACUUGGACUACAUGAAGAUUUGGGCAGUGAACAAGCUAUCUUUGUAAACAGGGUAAAUACGUGACUCCCAUGAAAAACACAAACCCUUAGGGGAAAAAAAAAGGAGAAAAAAGCAGUUUUGAAUUUACUUUCUCUUUCAUCCUCAUCAAAGUAGCUAGCAACACUUGUUACCGCUAUUUAUGAAUUGAACUUGAUUUAAUGAUUGAACAAUCAAUUACCUCCACAUCCUUGGAAUCAAAGUGGUUAGAAAUUAAUCCAGGUGGUUUACAUUUCUGGAACUGGCAACCCAUCUUAAACAAGCUUCCAAACACUGGAAUCUUGUGUUAUUGGCCACUCAGAAAUGACAGAAUUAUUCUGGAAAUAAUCUCUUAAAACAGAACUGAAUUUUUUGCAUUAACUCCACUACUGAGGUCCUUAUCAGCCCGUGGCAGCUUGAGUCGAAUAUAAUCUACAGCAGUCUGAAACAUCAGAGCAUCUGACAAUUCUGUGCCUGAUGAGAGGUAUUUUGGAGCUGUGAAUUGA